rnacentral:rRNA from 1 species
AGUCGAACGGAAAGGCCCUUCGGGGUGCUCGAGUGGCGAACGGGUGAGUAACACGUGGGUGAUCUGCCCUGCACUUUGGGAUAAGCCUGGGAAACUGGGUCUAAUACCGAAUAGGAUCACGCGCCUCAUGGUGUGUGGUGGAAAGCUUUUGCGGUGUGGGAUGGGCCCGCGGCCUAUCAGCUUGUUGGUGGGGUAAUGGCCUACCAAGGCGACGACGGGUAGCCGGCCUGAGAGGGUGACCGGCCACACUGGGACUGAGAUACGGCCCAGACUCCUACGGGAGGCAGCAGUGGGGAAUAUUGCACAAUGGGCGCAAGCCUGAUGCAGCGACGCCGCGUGAGGGAUGACGGCCUUCGGGUUGUAAACCUCUUUCAGCAGGGACGAAGCGCAAGUGACGGUACCUGCAGAAGAAGGACCGGCCAACUAC